rnacentral:tRNA from 1 species
GCCCCGGUAGCACAGCCAGGUAGUGCGACGGCCCGGUAAGCCGUAGGCCGCGGGUUCAAAUCCCGCCCGGGGCU